AGAACGAACGCUGGCGGCAUGCCUAACACAUGCAAGUCGAACGAGACCUUCGGGUCUAGUGGCGCACGGGUGCGUAACGCGUGGGAAUCUGCCCUUAGGUUCGGAAUAACAGUUAGAAAUGACUGCUAAUACCGGAUAAUGUCUUCGGACCAAAGAUUUAUUGCCUAAGGAUGAGCCCGCGUAAGAUUAGCUUGUUGGUGAGGUAAAGGCUCACCAAGGCGACGAUCUUUAGCUGGUCUGAGAGGAUGAUCAGCCACACUGGGACUGAGACACGGCCCAGACUCCGUACGGGA
rnacentral:rRNA from 1 species